rnacentral:rRNA from 1 species
UACGAAGGGGGCUAGCGUUGCUCGGAAUGACUGGGCGUAAAGGGCGCGUAGGCGGAUGGUACAGUCAGAUGUGAAAUUCCUGGGCUCAACCUGGGGGCUGCAUUUGAUACGUGCUGUCUUGAGUUUGGUAGAGGCAGAUGGAAUUCCGGGGUGUAGCGGUGGAAUGCGUAGAGAUCCGGAAGAACACCAGUGGCGAAGGCGACUUACUGGACACAUAUUGAC